rnacentral:rRNA from 1 species
CAGUAGCCGCGGGAAUACGAAGGUCCCAAGCGUUGUUCGGAAUCACUGGGCGUAAAGGGAGCGUAGGCGGCGUGGUAAGUCAGAUGUGAAAUCCCGGGGCUCAACCCCGGAACUGCAUCCGAUACUGUUAUGCUUGAGGGUUGGAGAGGUAGCUGGAAUUCUUGGUGUAGCAGUGAAAUGCGUGGAUAUCAAGAGGAACACUCGUGGCGAAGGCGAGCUACUGGACAACAUCUGACGCUGAGGCUCGAAGGCCAGGGUAGCGAAAGGGAUUAGAUACCCCAGUAGUCCCUGUCUCUUAUAC